rnacentral:rRNA from 1 species
GACGUAGGGCGCGAGCGUUGUCCGGAUUUAUUGGGCGUAAAGAGCUCGUAGGCGGCUCAUUGCGUCGUCGGUGAAAACCCGCGGCUUAACUGCGGGACUGCAGUCGAUACGGGCAGGCUAGAGUUCGGUAGGGGAGACUGGAAUUCCUGGUGUAGCGGUGAAAUGCGCAGAUAUCAGGAGGAACACCGGUGGCGAAGGCGGGUCUCUGGGCCGACACUGACGCUGAGGAGCGAAAGCGUGGGGAGCGAACAGG